CUGGACCUCCAAGCCAGUUCCACUGCUUGUUUCCCCCAUCGUUCCCAGGGACACGAGGUCUAGAGAGACAGAGUCUAGACAGUAUGUAUAAUGACCAGGUAGAACAGAUUUAAAUACCCCUAGACAGUAUGUAUAAUGACCAGGUAGAACAGAUUUAAAUACCCCUAGACAGUAUGUAUAAUGACCAGGUAGAACAGAUUUAAAUACCCCUAGACAGUAUGUAUAAUGAUCAGGUAGAACAGAACAGAUUUAAAUACCCCUAGACAGUAUGGAUAAUGACCAGGUAGAACAGAUUUAAAUACCCCUAGACAGUAUGGAUAAUGAUCAGGUAGAACAGAUUUAAAUACCCCUAGACAGUAUGGAUAAUGAUCAGGUAGAACAGAUUUAAAUACCCCUAGACAGUAUGGAUAAUGAUCAGGUAGAACAGAACAGAUUUAAAUACCCCUAGACAGUAUGGAUAAUGAUCAGGUAGAACAGAUUUAAAUACCCCUAGACAGUAUGUAUAAUGAUCAGGCAGAACAGAUUUAAAUACCCCUAGACAGUAUGGAUAAUGAUCAGGUAGAACAGAACAGAUUUAAAUACCCCUAGACAGUAUGGAUAAUGAUCAGGUAGAACAGAUUUAAAUACCCCUAGACAGUAUGGAUAAUGAUCAGGUAGAACAGAUUUAAAUACCCCUAGACAGUAUGGAUAAUGAUCAGGUAGAACAGAACAGAUUUAAAUACCCCUAGACAGUAUGGAUAAUGAUCAGGUAGAACAGAACAGAUUUAAAUACCCCUAGACAGUAUGGAUAAUGAUCAGGUAGAACAGAUUUAAAUACCCCUAGACAGUAUGUAUAAUGAUCAGGUAGAACAGAUUUAAAUACCCCUAGACAGUAUGGAUAAUGAUCAGGUAGAACAGAUUUAAAUACCCCUAGACAGUAUGGAUAAUGAUCAGGUAGAACAGAACAGAUUUAAAUACCCCUAGACAGUAUGGAUAAUGAUCAGGUAGAACAGAUUUAAAUACCCCUAGACAGUAUGGAUAAUGAUCAGGUAGAACAGAUUUAAAUACCCCUAGACAGUAUGGAUAAUGAUCAGGUAGAACAGAACAGAUUUAAAUACCCCUAGACAGUAUGGAUAAUGAUCAGGUAGAACAGAACAGAUUUAAAUACCCCUAGACAGUAUGGAUAAUGACCAGGUAGAACAGAACAGAUUUAAAUACCCCUAGACAGUAUGGAUAAUGAUCAGGUAGAACAGAUUUAAAUACCCCUAGACAGUAUGGAUAAUGAUCAGGUAGAACAGAACAGAUUUAAAUACCCCUAGACAGUAUGGAUAAUGAUCAGGUAGAACAGAUUUAAAUACCCCUAGACAGUAUGGAUAAUGAUCAGGUAGAACAGAACAGAUUUAAAUACCCCUAGACAGUAUGGAUAAUGAUCAGGUAGAACAGAUUUAAAUACCCCUAGACAGUAUGGAUAAUGAUCAGGUAGAACAGAACAGAUUUAAAUACCCCUAGACAGUAUGUAUAAUGACCAGGUAGAACAGAUUUAAAUACCCCUAGACAGUAUGGAUAAUGAUCAGGUAGAACAGAACAGAUUUAAAUAACCCUAGACAGUAUGUAUAAUGACCAGGUAGAACAGAACAGAUUUAAAUAACCCUAGACAGUAUGUAUAAUGAUCAGGUAGAACAGAACAGAUUUAAAUAACCCUAGACAGUAUGGAUAAUGAUCAGGUAGAACAGAUUUAAAUACCCCUAGACAGUAUGGAUAAUGAUCAGGUAGAACAGAACAGAUUUAAAUAACCCUAGACAGUAUGUAUAAUGACCAGGUAGAACAGAACAGAUUUAAAUACCCCUAGACAGUAUGGAUAAUGAUCAGGUAGAACAGAACAGAUUUAAAUACCCCUAGACAGUAUGGAUAAUGAUCAGGUAGAACAGAUUUAAAUACCCCUAGACAGUAUGGAUAAUGAUCAGGUAGAACAGAACAGAUUUAAAUACCCCUAGACAGUAUGU